rnacentral:lncRNA from 1 species
GUUCUUCACUUGGUGGAGUCUGGGAGUUAUAAAAGUCCUUCAUAUUUUGCUCGAAGUGUACCUGCUCAUAGAGACAAGGCAGAGAUCAAGUGCAUGGGCCCUGUUGGUGGAAAACACCAACAGAACCAAAAGUGUAAUUGCUCUUCUCUAUCCUUAAGCAUAGUGAGCAAGACACAGUUGAUGGAUAAUAAGAUCAUGAGUGUAGCAUUUAAAACAUUCGUCAGAUCAGAUCACUCAACCUAAUAGAAAGAUAAUCUAUCUAUAUAUAUGUGUUGUUUAUAUCUUCCAAAGAUUGAGUGUGCAACAUUUUAGCUAAUAUGAUUAGGAGUGUG